CGGAGGAUCCAAGCGUUAUCCGGAAUCAUUGGGUUUAAAGGGUCCGUAGGCGGUUUAGUAAGUCAGUGGUGAAAGCCCAUCGCUCAACGGUGGAACGGCCAUUGAUACUGCUAGACUUGAAUUAUUAGGAAGUAACUAGAAUAUGUAGUGUAGCGGUGAAAUGCUUAGAGAUUACAUGGAAUACCAAUUGCGAAGGCAGGUUACUACUAAUGGAUUGACGCUGAUGGACGAAAGCGUGGGUAGCGAACAGGAUUAGAUACCCUGGUAGUCCACGCCGUAAACGAUGGAUACUAGCUGUUGGGAGCAAUCUCAGCGGCUAAGCGAAAGUGAUAAGUACUCCCACCUGGGGAGUACGGGCGCAAGCCUG
rnacentral:rRNA from 1 species